rnacentral:rRNA from 1 species
GAUGAACGCUGGCGGCGUGCUUAACACAUGCAAGUCGAACGAUGAAGCCCAGCUUGCUGGGUGGAUUAGUGGCGAACGGGUGAGUAACACGUGAGUAACCUGCCCUUGACUCUAGGAUAGCCCGGGAAAACGGGGUCAAUUACUGAAUGGAAACGCCUACGCCUGGGGGGGGUUGGAAAAAAUUUUGGUUAUGGAUGGACUCGCGGCCUAUCAGCUUGUUGGUGAGGUAAUGGCUCACCAAGGCGACGACGGGUAGCCGGCCUGAGAGGGUGACCGGCCACACUGGGACUGAGACACGGCCCAGACUCCUACGGGAGGCAGCAGUGGGGAAUAUUGCACAAUGGGCGAAAGCCUGAUGCAGCGACGCCGCGUGAGGGAUGACGGCCUUCGGGUUGUAAACCUCUUUCAGUAGGGAAGAAGCGAAAGUGACGGUACCUGCAGAAGAAGCACCGGCUAACUACGUG